rnacentral:rRNA from 1 species
GUGCCAGCAGCCGCGGUAAGACGUAGGUGGCGAGCGUUGUCCGGAAUUACUGGGCGUAAAGGGCGUGUAGGCGGCCUGCUAAGUCAGACGUGAAAUCCUUGGGCUUAACCUAGGGACUGCGUUUGAUACUGGUGGGCUUGAGGACGGGAGAGGAAAGUGGAACUCCGUGUGUAGCGGUGAAAUGCGUAGAUAUACGGAAGAACACCAGUGGCGAAGGCGACUUUCUGGACCGUCCCUGACGCUGAGGCGCGAAAGCCAGGGGAGCGAACGGGAUUAGAUACCCCCGUAGUCC